GAUGAACGCUGGCGGCGUGCCUAAUACAUGCAAGUCGAGCGAACAGACGAGGAGCUUGCUCCUCUGACGUUAGCGGCGGACGGGUGAGUAACACGUGGAUAACCUACCUAUAAGACUGGGAUAACUUCGGGAAACCGGAGCUAAUACCGGAUAAUAUAUUGAACCGCAUGGUUCAAUAGUGAAAGACGGUUUUGCUGUCACUUAUAGAUGGAUCCGCGCCGCAUUAGCUAGUUGGUAAGGUAACGGCUUACCAAGGCGACGAUGCGUAGCCGACCUGAGAGGGUGAUCGGCACCACGGGAACUGAGACACGGUCCAGACUCCUACGGGAGGCAGCAUUAGGGAAUCUUCCGCAAUGGGCGAAAGCCUGACGGAGCAACGCCGCGUGAGUGAUGAAGGUCUUCGGAUCGUAAAACUCUGUUAUUGGGGAAGAACAAAUGUGUAAGUAACUAUGCACGUCUUGACGGUACCUAAUCAGAAAGCCACGGCUAACUACGUG
rnacentral:rRNA from 1 species